CCCUCUGUGUCAGUGAGUCCCUCUGCUGAGAUAGUGGAGGGCAGUUCAGUGACUCUGACCUGUAGCAGUGAUGCUAACCCAGCAGCUAACUACACCUGGUACAAGGAGAAUGAAGACUCACCAAAAGCAUCAGGACAGAUCUUCACCAUCACUGACUAUUUUACUGUGAAGCCCAGAACAGAAGAGGACGUCAGAACUCCACCUUACAUCUGACUGUUGUGGCAGGUGCAUCCAGAUCACACGCUGGAAUACUGCUCACUUUUGUCCUGUUCGUCGUCGUCCUCUCUGUCUACCUAGGGAUUAGAAGAUACAAGUUGCCCAAUCAACGGUUUGAGCUCAGGCAGAAACUAAACACCAUCGCACAGACCCUGCCACGCCUCACCUGCCCCCCAGCUGUCCGCCGGGUGUUUUCUGCCAAACAUCUGACCCAAAUUUUUGUGAAUGUGUUAUUGAGUUUUACAACAACACAGAACAACAUAGCAUUGUGUGGAAAUUUGACGUCAGUAAUGUUAAUUAUUAACUCCUUAAAGCUGUCACAAUUCUAGCUAAGCACAGGAGGAAGCGACCAGAAACCACUGCUGCACCUUUAAGUGCAGCGCUUUUUGCUCAACAUCCAACCACCACCUUCCCACCACCUAGAUUCACAUGUUGAGAAAUAUUUUUGCUGUAAAUAACUUUAAAUGUUUGGUCUGCCAUACUCAAUGCUUAUUCCAUCUAUGUUCUUAUAAGGUUUUGUUUGUGUCACUUUCAUUAUGAAUUUGGGGCUUUUAUUUUGAAGGUGUUAAGCAGUGCACACUGUCUAGCACCUGACUAAUAAGUGGACAGGGUUUGUCAAUGUUUUGUUUCAUGUUGUGAUUGAUAUUAACAUGCUUCUGCUUAACAUGGCAUUAUUAAACAAUAAAAUGCUGCAGUAUGAAAGUGUUUCAGUUUGCAAAGCCAAGCAUGUUUUGAAUUAGCUAUUCGUUUGUAAUUGAUAGAAUAAUAUAUUGUAAUCAAACUUACACCAGAUAGUAUCUGUCUUUGCAUGUUCUUUAUCUACUUAUUAUUGAAAUGUAUUGAAAGAAAUUCUGAUACAGGAUAUAAAAGCCUCUAUUCCACACUCAAGCAACACAAAACAAUAUAUAUACUGUAUAUAUAUUCACAUUUUAACAUGUUGUUUUCAUAAAACACAUUCAUUUCAUGAUUGAAAUUUUCUAACAAUUCAUAAAUAAGUUACAUAAAUUACUGACAAGCUUUAUAAUUAUACAUUACACCUUUUGACAGGCAAAGUGCAUCCAACCUAUUCUUAAAAGAAUUAGUUGAAGGGGAACGCACAACUUCUUCUGGAAGCUCGUUCCAUGAUUUUACCGCACAGAGUGUGAAAAAAUUCUUUCUCUUUUCAGACAGGCAUGUUCUAGGGUAAAGUUUUAAAGAAUUCCCUCGUGUCGCAUACCUAUUGCUCCAAAACUGAAAGAUAGGCUCAACUGUUAAAUCAUAUAUUCCCUGUACAAGGUUAUUCACCUGAAUCAUCAGUAUCUCAGUAAUGUUUUUUUCUCAGUAUCUCAACAUAUUGUUGCUGUUGAUUUGACUAACUUUUGUUCGGGUUUCUCUUGUUGCAGAAAUGACAGAAGCAGGUUUGUAAUUAUUAUUAUUAUCAAGUGCACCUCUUACCUAAGAUAUUCUUUUGAAUUAGAGCACAACUCCUCCCAGUGGUUCACACAGGAAGCUGUGAUGUGCUCCAUUCCAACCACACCCUAACAUCUGCUCUCAAUACUAAACUUUUCCAAUGC